CCGGGCAUUGGGCUUGCGAUCCGCAAUGGCAUUGCCAACCGCAUGUAAAAGGUGCGUUUUACCCAGACCGGUUCCGCCAUA
rnacentral:antisense_RNA from 1 species